GUUCCCUCGGUCGGCCGUGUACCUGUGUGCCUCGGGAGGGAGAGCGAGCAAAAGGCUACAAGGUUUUUUCUCCCUACGCCCAGCAAUUUAAUUUGCAGGCCCCCAAGAACCAAACCUAUGAGGAUAGAGGAAAAGUUUUUCUUCCCCAACAACCAUGAAAUGUUACAGCAAAAAUAAUUUAAUUUAGAAGUGGGAUGAUGUGGGGGCCUAAAUCACUUGCAAACAUCUUCACGCAAACAUCUGGUGGUCGAUGCUGGUUUGGAGCUGGAACCCAGGCUGGCUAUGGACUGGAACGCCUACAGGAGGAAAUGCAACUGCAGUGAAGUCCACCCUUGAGGUUCUGAUGAAUGGAGCUUUGGUGACUAGAUCAAAGAGCAAGGCUGGAACAGCGGAACGAAAAAUAACCAUCAGAUGCUCUGUUAAAAUAUGCACUAUGUUUCAUUUUUUUACAUGAAAAAGGUGGCUUUGGUCACAAUUUCCAUUGUGGUUCUUGUUUUCACUUUAAGACAGCCCAGAUGUUUGAAACAAUGCCAAGUUUUUAAUAAUGAUGAAGUCAGAAGCUGCCAGAUGGAGACAUUUGAGUAAUGAACCUGAGCUUAUUAAGAAUCUAUUGCAAGACUUUGUAAAAAAUAUAUAUCUUUAAGUGGAUUAUCUUCACUAAAUUUAAAAGAGAAUAGUUCAGCUCUUGAUUACUAAAUUAAUGCAUUCAGGUAAACUCUUCAUCUUAUGACAAACACAUUUGUCUUCCUAGUCUCAUACGCCCAUGGCAAACAUUACCAGUGUGAAUUACCCAUAAAUCUGUGUUCAUUCUGAACUCAUUAAAUUUGGGAACAUUGCCAUUUCAUCUUAACUGUCUCCUGAGUACACUGAA